rnacentral:rRNA from 1 species
UACGUAGGGUGCAAGCGUUAAUCGGAAUUACUGGGCGUAAAGCGUGCGCAGGCGGUUCGCUAAGACAGAUGUGAAAUCCCCGGGCUUAACCUGGGAACUGUAUUUGUGACUGGCGGGCUAGAGUAUGGCAGAGGGGGGUAGAAUUCCACGUGUAGCAGUGAAAUGCGUAGAGAUGUGGAGGAAUACCGAUGGCGAAGGCAGCCCCCUGGGCCAAUACUGACGCUCAUGCACGAAAGCGUGGGGAGCAAACAGG